rnacentral:rRNA from 1 species
AGCCGUAACCUUUUGGAGCUAGCCGUCGAAGGUGGGACAAAUGAUUGGGGUGAAGUCGUAACAAGGUAGCCGUAUCGGAAGGUGCGGCUGGAUCACCUCCUUU